UACGUAGGCAGCAAGCGUUGUUCGGAGUUACUGGGCGUAAAGGGUGUGUAGGCGGUUCUUUAAGUUUGCUGUGAAAUCUCCCGGCUUAACCGGGAGGGUGCGGUGAAUACUGAGGGACUAGAGUACGGGAGAGGAAAGUGGAAUUCCUGGUGUAGCGGUGAAAUGCGUAGAUAUCAGGAGGAACACCGGUGGUGUAGACGGCUUUCUGGACCGACAUUGACGCUGAACGGCGAAAGCUAGGGGAGCAAACGGG
rnacentral:rRNA from 1 species